rnacentral:rRNA from 1 species
ACUCCUACGGGAGGCAGCAGUGGGGAAUAUUGCACAAUGGGCGCAAGCCUGAUGCAGCCAUGCCGCGUGUAUGAAGAAGGCCUUCGGGUUGUAAAGUACUUUCAGCAGUGAGGAAGGUGGGUAUGUUAAUAGCAUACUCAUUUGACGUUAGCUGCAGAAGAAGCACCGGCUAACUCCGUGCCAGCAGCCGCGGUAAUACGGAGGUGCGAGCGUUAAUCGGAAUUACUGGGCGUAAAGCGCAUGCAGGUGGUUUGUUAAGUCAGAUGUGAAAGCCCGGGGCUCAACCUCGGAAUUGCAUUUGAAACUGGCAAACUAGAGUACUGUAGAGGGGGGUAGAAUUUCAGGUGUAGCGGUGAAAUGCGUAGAGAUCUGAAGGAAUACCGGUGGCGAAGGCGGCCCCCUGGACAGAUACUGACACUCAGAUGCGAAAGCGUGGGGAGCAAACAGGAUUAGAUACCCUGGUAGCGUAG